CUGUCUGGGAAGUAUCAACAAAAUGCAGUGCAUUGUAGUCAUAUGGGUCAGAUUCAGCAGGUCCUGUGCAUGGAGGCAGCCCCACAGUGCACUCAGCAUGAAGAACCAGCCAAAGGAAAUUCUGCCUGCAGAUCUGUGCUGGUUACAGCAAAGGAGGAACUUUCGAGGGCAAGUCAGAGAAGAUGGCAGACACGUUGUGCCCAGUGCUCUCGUCAUUCCUGGUGCACACAUCCCUGCUUGCUGCUGUUUGCUACAUGACAUACCAGCCUGCAGCUGGUAGUGAACCUGAACACAGCAAGGCAUGCUGCAGCUAAUUAUUUAGGACUUUCAUAAACAUCUGCUUUGGGGAAAAGACUAUUGUCAUUUUAAGGCUUGGGACCAAAAUUUUGAUGAAAAUAUGGAGGUUUUGUGGUUGUGUCACCCACAUUUUCCAAGCCACUUAUGUUUUUCUUCCACAGUUAAAAUGCACUAAGUACAUUUGAGAUUCUCAAAAGAUAUGAAGAGAGACCCAGGAAGGAUUUUUCAUUAAAGGAGCAGUAUUUUAACAACACGGAGAAGGAAACAGAUGCAUGAACUACUCCAGUUUCAACAGAGAAAAAAUACAAGUUUGAUGUUUUAAAGAAAAGCAGAUGCAGUCAUGUUGUCCUCUUCUUGGAAGUUAUAACUGAUGAGCAGAUGAAAAAAUGAAGGAAGAAGCUUCACAACUGGACUGGUUGGGAGAAAUGGUUCAAGCAGAUCUACAGCCCUCAAAGAACAGCCCACAUUUAGCAGCAUAAUGAACAGCUGAGCUUGAGCAUGAUUUUAUGUGACUGAGUGAAGCCUCUUUCCAUAUCAAAUCUUUGAGUCUCUUACUCUCUAAAAGAAAAGUUUGCCCCAUAAAACUGGAAGAGAAGAAAUAGGUGAUGUGAACAUGGAUGUGCUGAUCAACACAAGGGAAGCACAAGAAAA